rnacentral:rRNA from 1 species
AUCUACGGCUAUGCUACCCUAAACAAGCCCGAUCCCGGCUGAUCUCGGAAGCUAAACAGGAUUGGGCCUGGUUAGUACUUGGAUCGGAGACCACCUAGGAAGACCAGGUGCUGUAGUCA